CAGAUACAUACCUCUGAUUUACCAUUAAGUUGUAUUUUGCGUUUUGAACAAUAUUUUGAAGCAUUGUUACGGUACCACAAUUUUCAGGUAGCCUAAACAGCACACUCCUGAACUUUCUGUUGGAAUCGUAAGAAAUGUAUUAGAAAUAAUCAAUAAUCCAAAAACUUUCCUUCCUUAAUUUAUACUUGAUUUUACUUGCAGUCCAUCUUCAUUUUCGUUCAAUGUACUUGGAGUUUCCAGGUCACGCUCAAAGUCUGUAUCAUUGUUGUUUUAAGAGCAAAUGCUUUCACAUUUGAGACAUCAACUUGAUUUUUAAGUGUAUGUAUAAGUCCAAUGACUGGGGAAACGUUUAUGUCGAUCGUUUUAUUAUAUAAUUUUACUUUGCUUAAACUCAACCUCAAUGUUGUAUGGCUUAAUGUUUGACUUUGGUGAAGGUUUAUAGAACUAUUUCUACAAUAAUUGGAUCUUAGAUUUUUUAGACUCUUUGCAUGACGGAGCCUUUCCGUUGAAAUUAUGUAUUUAAUUACUAUGAAGUCGAUUAAUGGUUUCCUUCAAAAGCGGUUAUCCUCUAUUUUGCGGAUUGCAAACAACGCUGGAAUAAUUGCAGCAUGCAGAGAUAUUUCCUAACGGUAGCAUAAGACCAAGUUUUUAAUAUUGUUUGCAUAAGAUUAAAACUUCAGCCUCGAUAUGUGCAGAAAUGUAAUAUUGAAUAAUAUCAGGGGUAGUCAAACAAUGAACUGUCACUUAAAAACAAAAACAACUACUUAUCAACCUAACUACCUGCGCAACACUUCCAAGAAUUAAGCAAUAACUUCGGUCAAUGUUUUAAUCAUCUCGCCGACGAACAAAACAAUUUAUUUUAGACAAUAGAUAAAGGCUUUACGCUGUCAAAUUUUUAAGGAUUUGUGGUAGAAGCAUGUGCUAAGGAGCGUAUAAAAAGAAUAUCUCUGGAGGCAGCGGCUUAGAACACUCACGACCAGCAUCAAGCGAAUUACUUGCGAAUAACGGAAAAUGUUAUCUUAAUAAGGAAGUAUUACGAGUAUGGACAACACACCGAAAUUUAGCGCACUGACUACGUUGGCAAAAUCUUUAAAAUUAGAAUUACUUCAUAAGAAGCGAAAACAGCGAGUUAAAUAUUAUGACAUAUAUACGCCGGAUGUCUCCGAUACAGAAGAUGUGGAGCAAGUGUUGCUGUAUGGAAAUAUUAACGGCUCUCCGAGCGCGAAUAGAGCUUUAAAUGAGCAUAAUGGGAUCGACUCAUAUGUGACGACGCCAACAUCGGCAACAAAACGUAUCAAAGGAAGGCGAUUGAACCUCACAAACGAUGACGAUGAAUACGAUUUUUAGUGAAUGAAAGAGUUUUGUGUGUGUGUAGAAAUAAUAUGUGAAUACGAAGUACUGUCAUUGACAUUUAAUAUUAUUUUAAUUAAUAAGAGUAUGUCAAAUAAAAAUACAUUUUAUAUUAUAAAAAAAUUUUCUCACGUUCAGCGAUUGCGUUUAAUAGAAAGAAUAAUAACGUUGACUUCGGCGGCACCGAAGCCCUUCGCAUAUAUGUACGUAUUUUAUAGCAUAAAAGGGUAUAAAAAGAUAUUUAUCUUGAUUUUGCGUGGUUCGAUUUGAAGAAUUGCCUCGGAGAUUGUACCGUUGCCUUGGAUAAUAAACCGUGCCGAAUUCUGUAUAGAGAUCUCUUCAAAUAAUAGAGUUUUCCAUAUAAUGACUUGAGUUUGAUCGAUUAGUUUGUAUGGCAGCUAUAUGCUAUAGUAAUCCAAUCUGAACAGUUCCUUCGGAGAUUGUAACGUUGGCUUGGAUAUUAAUCCACGUUAAAUUUCGUAAAGAGAUCUCGCCAAAUAAAAGAUUUUCUCACACAAGAACUUGAUAUUAAUCGCUCAGUUUGUAUGUCAGCUAUAUGCUAUAGUAGUCCGAUAACGGCGGUUCCAAAAUAUGAGCAGCAAUUGGUGAGUAAAGGGCGUGUGCAGAACGAUAUCUCAAAAACUGAGGGACUAGUUCGACUCAGCUCAUCACGCUGAUCAUUUAUACCACUUCUAAAAAAAAAUGCAUCAAAUAUUCACAAUUAUUUCUACAUUGAAGAAUAUAUAUAUAUGUUAUACCGAGAUAUGUAUCGUCUUAUGUAUCUACUUUCUUGUACCGAAUUCAACUCUUAGCGAGUUGUUACUUGUAACUGUAAAUUUUUUUUGACAAGAGAGCUUAAAAUUAGCUAGCAGAGAAAUAGCGAAUUGAUGACGGUAAAAAUGAAGAUACGUCUGUUACGGAACUAAUAUUCUACGGUGUAGUCGGAGCGUAAAUGUAUUUACACACAUUUUCUUGUAACAUAGUAUAAAGCUCUGUCAUUGUUAAUGCAAGUUUGUCAAUUUAAUUAGAAAUACUUAAUUUUUUGUUGCCAAAGUCGGCGUCUCGGCCGCUGCUGCUGCUGAUGAUGAUGCCAUCACUUAAACCCACCACCUGCUAGUCAACUCUCACUUAUGGAUUUAAUUAAAUUUUCGACAAUUUGCAAUCGACUCUAAACAACAACAGCUAAAGGCACAAAAAGAAGAAGAUAAGCCUCCCCUCCGGCGGUGAAAAGCGCAAUCAAUGAUGACGAGUAACAAACUUCCAAAAGGAUGUGUCUAUCACGGAAGAACGCAACAGAGAGGAAGUUGAGGAGAAAAGCGAAUGAAAUGGCGAAAAUGCUACAAAAAUCAAAUGUAGUGCCCAGGCUCGUGCCACUGGCGGAUGUUGCAAGUUGUUGAGUGCGUUCGCAUUUUUUCGCUGUCAUCACGAGUGGUUGUUGUUGUUGCUGUUACUGAUGCUGCUUGCUGUUGCUGCUCUCGUUGCUGUCAAAUGAAGUUGAAUUUAAUUAAAUCCUUCAUGUCGUUGUGUCUGUUAAAAAUAGACAAAUGACAGUUCUCGCCUGUUUGCCUUCAUUCUCAAUUCACAACAACAACAACUGCGCGCCCUUUUAGUACGAGUGAUAUUUAUGUUUGUAUGUGUGUGUGAUCAUUGCUUUUAUUCGCUGCUGAGUCGGUUUAUCGAACGAAUGCAAUUCUCAUAGUUUCAUUUCAAGUAGUCAUUGUUGUAAUUGUUGUUGUUGUAGUGGCACUUAGUUUUUAUUCAUCAAAUAUGUACAUAUGCAUGUACGAAUUUCUGUGUAAAGUUGAAAUUGAUUUUACAUUUAAUAAAGUUGAAGGCUGUGGUGGAA